GCACAAGCGGUGGAGCAUGUGGUUUAAUUCGACGCAGCGCGCAGAACCUUACCAGCCCUUGACAUGCCCCUUACGGGCCCGGGAGACCGGGUCCAUCGGUUCGGCCGGGGGGGACACAGGUGCUGCAUGGCUGUCGUCAGCUCGUGUCGUGAGAUGUUGGGUUAAGUCCCGCAACGAGCGCAACCCUCACCUUCAGUUGCCAUCGGGUCAUGCCGGGCACUCUGGAGGAACUGCCGGUGACAAGCCGGAGGAAGGCGGGGAUGACGUCAAGUCCUCAUGGCCCUUAUGGGCUGGGCUACACACGUGCUACAAUGGCGGUGACAGAGGGAAGCGAGGCGGCGACGCCGAGCCGAUCCCUAAAAGCCGUCUCAGUUCGGAUUGCACUCUGCAACUCGAGUGCAUGAAGCUGGAAUCGCUAGUAAUCGUGGAUCAGCACGCCACGGUGAAUACGUUCCCGGGC
rnacentral:rRNA from 1 species